ACAGCCGUGGCCGAGUGGUUAAGGUGAUGGACUAGAAAUCCAUGGGGUCUCCCCGCCCGCACGGGUUCGAAUCGUGUCGACUGCG
rnacentral:tRNA from 2 species